rnacentral:lncRNA from 1 species
CAGGAUCUUAUGCAAUUCAGGCUGGCCUCCAACUGAAUUUGUAGCCAGAAGUGGCCUUGGAUUCCUGAUCCUCUUGCCUCUACAUCCAGAGUGUUGGGAUGGCAGGUAUGCGCCACCAAGUCCUUUUUGUGCAGUGCUGGGGACAUGUUCUACCUACUGACUGAGCCACAUUCCCAGUCAGCCCCAAGGACAGUAUUCUUCAAGUGACAAAGGAGAGUCUCUCGGGGUGGUGAGUUAUGAGUAGGUAGAUAAAGGAUAGAUAAAGGCUAGUUAGUGAAGCUUAUUGAGUAAGAGGCUGGGGUGUGGCUCCGCUGGAAGAGGGAAGACACAGAACAAAGACAGAACAAAGGGAUGAUUUUACUCAAGUCUAACAUGGUGAGGUUGAGAUAUUGAGGUUUCUUACUUUGGCUUACUCAAAGGCAUCCCUGAAAAGCCACCUGGGUCAGCCUGGAGGAUGACGAUACCUGGAGCUUCCUACUCAAGUAGGAGGCAGCCUAGCUACUCUGAGAGUCUCCUCUCCCCAGCAGUAGUUACUGUUUACAUGGGCACACCUGAGACCAUGCGUAUGAAUGCCCUAAGAGGACAGAAGGGAGCAUUGGAUCUCCUGGAACUAGAAUUAGUGAUAGCUGAAUUCUGGUCCUCUGUAGAAGGCUAUGUUCUGAACUCCUGGGCCAUCUCUUCAACCCUUGUUUGUUUCUUUAUCAGUGGUUCUCAACCUUCCUAAUGCUGUGACCCUUUAAUACAGUUCCUCAUGUGGUGACUGCCAACCAUAAAACUACGCUACUUCACAACUGUAAUUUUACUACUGUUAAUGAAUUGUAAUGCAAAUACCUGAUAUGGGACACAGGUUGAGAACAGCUGCUUUAAAAGGUGAAGUAAGUGAAAGAAGAUUAGGUCAUUGGGAAUGUGCCCUGGGAAGGGAUAUUGUACCCAGGUCUGUUGUCUCCCUUUGCUUCCUGGAAUUCAUGGAGACUCUGGCCAUGAUGUGCUAAUUCCCACAAGCCCAAAGCAAUAAAGGUUUGUCAAUGUGAUAACAUGCAUCAGAAUUCCAUCUCUUUUCUGGAGGUGAAUAAUAUUCCACUUGAUAGACAUACCACAAUGUGUUUAUCCAGGUACCCAUUGUUGGACUUUCAGGCUUUGUCUGUCUUUUGAGUUUUAUAAAUACAGAUGUUAUGAACACUCAUGGAUAUGCACUUUUUCAAGUCCCUGGUUUCAAUCCCAGGGAUGGAGUUACUGACUCAUGUGGUUUCUUUUCUUUUCAUUUUUUAAGGGGUGGUAUGGUUGGUUAUUGUUGUGUGUGUAUAGCUGGAAAUGCACAGAUGGAGGGCUAGUGGUUACCUCAGGUGUUUUUCCCAGUUACUCUCCACUUUAUUUUGAGACAGGGUCUCUCACUUUACCCAGACCUCUCCAUCACGGUUAGCAUGGUGGCAUCCUCAGGAACCUUCCUGUUUCCGCUUCCCUAGCACUGAGAUCACAAACAUACACUACAGAUCCAGCUUCUCUGUUUGUGUGUGUGUGUGUGUGUGUGUGUGUAUGUGCGUGCACACGUGUGUUGCUGGGGGUAGAACCUAGGACCCUGCACUUGGUAGGCAACACUCUGUCAUUGAGAUACAUCCCAAACUCUGUGUUUCACUUUCCAAAACUGAUUUUGCAUUUUAUUUAAUGUAUAUGUGGGUAUGCAUGCACAUGUGUACACAUAUGUGAGGAUGCCCCUAACAUGUAUGGAAAUCAUAGCACAACUUUCAUCUCAGGUCUUCAUCAGUCACCUUUCACUGCUGAACCGUCCUCUGGCUCCCUGUUUCUGAGGAGUUGCCAGACUGUUAGUGCCAUGGACCACCCCAGCUGGGUAUGGGAGUCCCUAGGAUGGGGGUCCUCGAUGAAUAGGUGAGUAAGGAUUUGGCGGUGACAAACAGAAACAAACACAGAGGAAGUUUGAAUCUGAGUGUAUUUUGCAGUUCUCAAACAAGGUUGUUUUUACAGAGAUAUUUUCUCAGGGGAUGUUUUUGUUAAACAAACCCAAACAUAUGACAUUAUUGUUACUUGGCACAGUGACACCGAAAUCCAAAACAUAGAAUCAUUCAGGGUUAAUCAAAACAUAAAAUUUGUCCUUGAUUAGUCAAAACAUAAGACCGUCCUUGACUAACAUCGGAUCAUCCAAGGCCAACCACAUAUUUCUUAAAUCAAAUUAAUGUAUUUUUAUGGUCAGUUAUUGUUUAACAUCUAUUACCUAGUUCUUGUGAGUUUUUGAAGUAUUGAGCUAUUUUAACUAUUUUAACUCUUUCUUAUUAAAAGCUUUCGUUACCGGAUACUUAAGCCCACUUUCGAUGACAUAUGUACAGCCUAAUGAAAUUUUAUUGUUGGGAAAGUUUUUACUAUUUGUACUUAUGUGAAUGACAUGAAUGAUUUAGAAAGUGCUCG